GCAUGGGAGGAUGAUCUGGCUGCGACCCCUGUCACUCCAUUGAUCGUCAGGGAUGAUUCAGCUGAUCUGGCUGGCUAGGUGGUUGUUUCCUUCCUCCCUCACUGCUCCAUGUGCAUCCCUCCUGAAGCUGCACCUGCUGUUGAAGAGGACGACCACCCCCGAUAGAGGGGGACCAUUUCCUGGUGUAUGAGUAGCUGUGUUCCCCUGCUAGAACCUCCAAGCAAGCUCUCAAGAAAUGCGUCCUUUGGGCCAGGGUUUGUGUUCCCUGGACAGAAUGGCAUGUUCUAAUGAUGUGAUCUGGGCCGUAUUUCUGG
rfam:Heterocephalus glaber contig119419, whole genome shotgun sequence.